rnacentral:rRNA from 1 species
CGCGGUUACUAGCAACUCCGCAUUCACGGAGGCGAGUUGCAGCCUCCGAUCCUCACUGAGGUCGGGUUUGCUGGGAUCUCGCNUCCGGGUCGCCCCUUCGCUGCCCGUUGUCCCGACCAUUGUAGCGUGUGUGUAGCCCUGGACGUAAGAGCCGUGCUGACUUGACGUCAUCCCCACCUUCCUCCGGGUUGUACCCGGCGGUCUCGCCAGACAGGUAACUGGCGACGAGGGUKGCGCUCGUUGCGGGACUUAACCCAACMCCUCMCGSCACGAGCUGACGA